rnacentral:lncRNA from 1 species
UACCAGAGGUAGGCUGAUUAUAAUGAGGUCUCGUCCAGUUCCCCAAGGGGAUCGUCCGUAACCGCAUAUCACCCUACGGCCAUUCAGCUAUCGGCAAGAUUCCUUACACCAUAGCUUGAGUAGGCUGGUCUACUGUGGCAUGUUUUGCAAAGGCUUUUGGAGGGUUUUAGGUGUCCGGCGACCCCAUCCGUAAAGCCACAUUGGCUUCCCCGACAGGGCCUCCAGUCCCCUGGCCGGCCUCCUAUCCGCCACCUGGGGACGCACCCGAUAGGUAGACCAACCCACGGGAGCUAUUAUAUGUUUUUUUCGAUGUAUAUGUUAUAUUGUCCCCACUAGAUUCAGGUGUAUAAGAAACGUCCACAUCGACAUGUCAACAACUUUUGAUCAUGAUAAUUUUUUCAUUUUGAGCUCGAUUUCAAUAUUUUGUCAAAAAAUUGAAGGACAUUCAUACCAGGACAUUGUAUGUUUCAAUCAUCUGGGCUCGAAACACUCUGUGAUGAAACAUUCUAUGAUGAAAUAUCGCUUUUGGAUGACACUCAAAUUCAUCAUGUAUGCGAUCUUGGUUCAUGACCGAAAUACCGGUUUUUCAUUCAUUCUGAUAUCACGAUUUAUUUCAAAUUUAUGAAUUAUUGAAUAGAGUAUUGCUUUUCCCUGCGUGUUUCUUUAUUCUUCACAAAAAUUAUGGAAAAAUUGAAAACCAAAGGUUAACAUGGAUAUCGAACAUGAGUUGCCUCCUUUAGCUUGGACGAUAGCUUCCAUUCUCCAAGGCAUUCCACGAAUUAACACUCGAAUGAACUCCUGGAACACGUUAUUCUACUUCACUUCUCUCACAUGUACCCAGAUAGUCCUAGACAUAUGCAUAUGAUCUGUAUGUUUAAAAUCUGUUUUUCCGUUAACCAGAUGUCGCACCUCUAUGAACGACAACCCUCACAAGUCGAAACUUGUGCGAGCAAAGGACUAACGAGGUCUUACCUUUCAAUGUGUGAUUCCUAACACGAAAAACCAGAGAAAAUAUAAUGCUUCAUUCAAUAAAAUUAUUGGAUUUGAAACUGAUCAUGAUAUCAGAAUGAAUACAGAAACUUGACAUAGGCGGAUGUCUUCAUUCAUGUCAUUCAAAAGCUGUCCAUCUCCUCAGGAUAUGUUUAACUUGUAUGAUAAAAACAUAACUUUGUUUUUCCUCGUAUAAUGUGUAUAACAUCAGGCCUUUCAAUUAAUCUAUUUCACGUGAAUAGAUUUGGGAUGCAUUUCACAUUUACCGAAAUUUUCAAAAUCGGUCUGAAAAUAAAAAGUUACUUAUGACUAAAAUUUUUGAAAGUGGCCGUUUUUAUGCACCUGGGUGCAUAAAUGUAUCAUGUUUCACACAAAAUCCUCCUCUAUAUAAAUUCAUAUAUUCAGGUUGCAUUUACAAAUGUUGCGCGUUUUUUCUCGAUCAAAAAAUCGGAUUGACAAAUAACUCCAGAAAACACAUUUGAUUUUUCAAAAUUAACUUCUAACGUAAGCUAAAAUUUUUGAUAAACUACAUACUAGGUGAUGAUUAUAUGAUGGAUGAACCACAUUUCUGAUGAGAGAGAUUAUAGCAUUCAUAAAAUUAGCGCCACCAUUAAGGACAAUAAACUCCUGCAUUAUAUAUAACCUAAUGCACAAUUUUGCGACAUGAUUAGAGGUUGCAAAUUGUUUUGGAAACCGGAACAUCGAAUAGAAUCGCCUAAUUGAAAUAGUAGUAAACACGUUAUUUAUGAUAAAUGCACAUUCACUUCAAUUUGGUACAAAAUAUCUAGUUACGUUAUAAUGUUUGCUUUCAUCUUGUGUAUAUGUGCCAUCCAAUUGAAAAUUUCAUCUAUUAUUAUUAUUAUUCCUUAGAGAAUAUACAUAUAAGCUGAAUGACAAAAAUUCAGAGCAAUUCAUGAGAUUGAAGCCACCUUUUGUAAUAUCAACAUGCAUUAAAACCUGUUUAACCAGAAAUGUAUUUGUUGAAAAAUUCGUAUUAGUAUUAUGGAGUUUGAUGAGUUCUAUAAAAUGAAUUGAGAAAAAGAGUAGCCUAAAAUAGAAUGCUGGAGCACACCUCAAGUAAUGUAUUUAUUGUGUUGGGUUUCACAAAUUGUUACCAAUUUUGAAAUAACAUUUUUGAUUAUCACCGUUAUCAUGUUCUUCUAAUAAAAAUUGGCCACAUCAAUAUGUUUAGUGCAUAAUGAUCACUGUAUAUUGAUUUAUUUUCAUUUGAAAAAACCAUGCAUAAACAUUUUUCUCUUAAAUUUAGAAAAAAAAACGCGAUAUUUUCAGUUAUUACAAUGAUUACUUCCAUCUAUGAAAAUGACUAUGAAUGUAACCCUUACAACUAUGACCAACCAUUCCUGGAAUUUGAUGAAGUUUAUAAAGCAAUAUAUCGUUAUAAAUACAUUUUAUAAAUACAGAAUACGUAAAAUUAUUCCAAUGAAAAUGAUGAAUGUAAAUAAAUUAUCAUCAACUGUUGUGCUAUUUGUGCAAAAAUGUUAGUAAGUGUAAUGAAUCAUUCAAAAACUAUCGGAAGAAUAAUAGUGAUAAUAUUAGUAUAUUUCCGAACAAAUCGAAAAUGAUAUCACAAAUUGCUUCUUGUUUUUCUUUUUCUUAAUUUAUUGUUUUGUAUAUUCAUCAGGGUUUAUAUUCACGAUUACCUAAGUUAUUUUGUUUUAUUUUCGAACCAUUAUACAUUUUAUGAUACAACAAUUGAUUUGUAUUUUGUAUUUUGUAUUGCAAUAUUAUUUAAAUGAAAUAUUUUUUCAUCACCCUAAUCAAACGCAAUUGACUGUAUCAAGGUAAAACAAGUCCUUUGUACAUAGAAAUGAAUAUUGAAAACCAUAUAUUUUAUUUCUGCAUCACAUAUUUGACUUCAUUGUCUUAUUUAUAAUGCACGUGAAAAUGAUAUUUGAUUCAAUAACUUUCAAGAAUUGGUACUCCACUUGAGUUGAAGCAAAAGCAUUGCAAGACAAUUAAUUUUUUUUUCACUCCAUAUUGGAUCAUAUAUCAUACAUCAUUGUAAGGCGUAUAUGUUUUACUUUUGAAGUCCAUUACUAAUAUCGAUUAUUAAUCAUGAUGUAGUUGACAGAUACUUCCGGGUUUAUUAGCCGUGGUCUGUAGGUUUUUAUACCUGAAGUUUCGUCUGCUAUUGCGGCAAACUUUAUCAAACUUCUUUCAUCCUCCGUCAAGCAUGUAGAACAACCAACAACUACAGAGUACUCAGUGAACUCAGGUGGUAGUCAAAUAUGGAUCCUCGGGGUUUUUAUCUGUAUUGAGACCAUUCUCUAUCGUACUUACGGAUUCGAAAAUUGACCCAACACCAUGUUUUUUGAGGACAGUAUCGAUUUGGUCCGUCACUCCGUUUAUGUAGAGCUGAAAAGUGUUUUCAUUGGCAGUUCGCUCGAGUGCUGUCGUGGAGUUUUUUUGCGUGGUUUGUACAGCUUGGUUGACCUUGGCCUCGUUAUAUCCAUUACCCAGAAAUACAAUCUUCAGAUGACACAUUUCCUUUCGUACCAAAGUCUUAAUAAUCCCUUUUUUCUGUAACAGUUGAUGAUAAUAGGCUUGUUCAUAUAUCGGUCCAUAUGAUGAAACAUUAAAAAUUGAAUAUAUACAAAAAAAAUAAGAAGAAUACUCUACUGAGCAAACACAAAAGAACUAUUACAGAAAUCACGUAGAACAAGAACAAAAUAUUAGAAAAAAACUUGGUUAACAGUUAACGAAGUAUUGAAAAUCCCUGGCUAUAGGGAAAUGAACGAAAUCUAAAACUGGCUAACGUGUCAGUAAUCCAACAGAAAUGGUCGAAAAAAUAAAAAAUCUCUAGUAUACAAUGGCAACUAUAAAAAUUAUCUCAUAGCAUAUACGUUCUCCUCUGAUUUAUAUGAUAAAUAAAUAUUUCGAACUAGAUCAUUUCCCUGAUGCUUUCAAGCUAUCAGUUGUCAUUCCCGUUCAUGAAGGAGGAGAAGAAAAAAUAUUACAAAUCACAGAAGAAUCUCACUCUGGAGUCAGAGGUGCAGCCUACAACUUGUUCAAAAGUUAUUUGAGUAACAGAAAACAGAAAGUAGAAAUCGGAAAUAUCACAAGCACCGGAAUAACAAUAACGUGUCGGGUACCUCAAGGGACGGUAUAGGGCCUGUGUUAUUUACAUUAUGUAUGGAAAACCUCUUUUUAUAGGAAUAAGAUGACCGAAUACUGCUUAAAGUUAGUAUCAUCUGAAAGUCAAAGCAGAAGAUGACUUGAAAAAU